GAUGAACGCUGGCGGCGUGCCUAAUACAUGCAAGUCGAGCGAACAGACGAGGAGCUUGCUCCUCUGACGUUAGCGGCGGACGGGUGAGUAACACGUGGAUAACCUACCUAUAAGACUGGGAUAACUUCGGGAAACCGGAGCUAAUACCGGAUAAUAUAUUCAACCGCAUGGUUCAAUAGUGAAAGACGGCUUUGCUGUCACUUAUAGACGGAUCCGCGUCGGAUUAGCUAGUUGGUAAGGUAACGGCCUACCAAGGCGACGAUGCGUAGCUGACCUGAGAGGGUGAUCAGCCACACUGGAACUGAGACACGGUCCAGACUCCUACGGGAGGCAGCAGUGGGGAAUCUUCGACAAUGGGCGAAAGCCUGACGCAGCAACGCCGCGUGAGUGAUGAAGGUCUUCGGGUCGUAAAGCUCUGUUGUUGGGAAAGAACAGAAGUAGAAGAAACUCUGGACGUCUUGACGGUACCUAAUCAGUAAGCCACGGCUAACUACGUG
rnacentral:rRNA from 1 species